GACGAACGCUGGCGGCGUGCCUAAUACAUGCAAGUCGAGCGGAAGUUGGAGAGCUUGCUCUUCAACUUUAGCGGCGGACGGGUGAGUAACACGUGGGCAACCUGCCCUGCAGAUCGGGAUAACUCCGGGAAACCGGUGCUAAUACCGCAUAGUUUUCGCCACCUCCUGGUGGCGUACGGAAAGACGGUUUCGGCUGUCCCGGCAGGAUGGGCCCGCGGCGCAUUAGCUAGUUGGUGGGGUACCGGCCCACCAAGGCGACGAUGCGUAGCGGACCUGAGAGGGUGAUCGGCCACACUGGGACUGAGACACGGCCCAGACUCCUACGGGAGGCAGCAGUAGGGAAUCUUCCGCAAUGGACGAAAGUCUGACGGAGCAACGCCGCGUGAGUGACGAAGGUUUUCGGAUCGUAAAACUCUGUUGUGAGGGAAGAACAAGUACCAACUAACUACUGGUACCUUGACGGUACCUCACCAGAAAGCCCCGGCUAACUUCGUGCCAGCCGCCGCGGUAAAAC
rnacentral:rRNA from 1 species